rnacentral:rRNA from 1 species
AUUGAACGCUGGCGGCAGGCCUAACACAUGCAAGUCGAGCGGAGCGGCGUUCCGGUGCUUAAUGCCUAGGAUUCUGCCUGUUAGUGGGGGAUAACGUCCGCUACCGGGCGCUAAUACCGCCUCCUAUCAGAUUCGCCUAGGUCUGAUUGGCUAGUUGGUGGGGUAAAGGCCUACCAAGGCGACGAUCCGUAACUGUUCUGAGAGGAUGAACAGUCACACUGGAACUGAGACACGGUCCAGACUCCUACGGGAGGCAGCAGUGGGGAAUAGUGGCCAAUGGGCGAAAGCCUGAUCCAGCCAUGCCGCGUGUGUGAAGAAGGUCUUCGGAUUGUAAAGCACUUUAAGUUGGGAGGCGUGACCAAAAGAAUAAGCACCGGCUAACUUCGUGCCAGCAGCCGCGGUAAUAG